GCUUUAAUAAUGGGCACAGUUACCCUGUUCAUAAACUUGCUGUGGGGCCUAGUAAUUUCUAGUUGUGCCACUGGAUGUAAGCCAUGAACAGAAUGAAUAGAGGGAGAGAUUUAUCAUUUGCCUUGUUUCUGAAAUGUGGCAUUAAAAAGUUG